GACGAACGCUGGCGGCGUGCUUAACACAUGCAAGUCGAGCGGUAAGGCCCUUUCGGGGGUACACGAGCGGCGAACGGGUGAGUAACACGUGGGUGACCUGCCCUCAGCUCUGGGAUAAGCCUGGGAAACCGGGUCUAAUACUGGAUAUGACUCCAUGACGCAUGUUGUGGGGUGGAAAGCCUUGUGCGGCUGAGGAUGGGCCCGCGGCCUAUCAGCUUGUUGGUGGGGUGANGGCCUACCAAGGCGACGACGGGUAGCCGGCCUGAGAGGGCGACCGGCCACACUGGGACUGAGACACGGCCCAGACUCCUACGGGAGGCAGCAGUCGGGAAUUUUGGGCAAUGGGCGAAAGCCUGACCCAGCAACGCCGCGUGAGGGAUGAAGGCC
rnacentral:rRNA from 1 species